rnacentral:rRNA from 1 species
CUACGGGCCGCUGCAGUGAGGAAUAUUGCACAAUGGGGGGAACCCUGAUGCAGCAACGCCGCGUGGAGGAUGACGCAUUCGGUGUGUAAACUCCUUUUAUAUGUCAAGAAAAUGACGGUAGUAUGUGAAUAAGCACCGGCUAACUCCGUGCCAGCAGCCGCGGUAAUACGGAGGGUGCAAGCGUUACUCGGAAUCACUGGGCGUAAAGGACGCGUAGGCGGGUUGGAAAGUCAGGUGUGAAAUCCUACAGCUUAACUGUAGAACUGCACUUGAAACUUCUAAUCUAGAGUAUGGGAGGGGGAGAUGGAAUUAGUGGUGUAGGGGUAAAAUCCGUAGAUAUCACCAGGAAUACCUAAAGCGAAGGCGAUCUCCUGGAACAUUACUGACGCUAAGGCGUGAAAGCGUGGGGAGCAAACAGGAUUAGAUACCCCAGUAGUC